rnacentral:rRNA from 1 species
AACGAACGCUGGCGGCAUGCCUAACACAUGCAAGUCGAACGAGAUUUUCGGAUCUAGUGGCGCACGGGUGCGUAACGCGUGGGAAUCUGCCCUUUGCUUCGGAAUAACAGUGAGAAAUUACUGCUAAUACCGGAUGAUGUCUUCGGACCAAAGAUUUAUCGGCAAGGGAUGAGCCCGCGUAGGAUUAGGUAGUUGGUGGGGUAAUGGCCUACCAAGCUGACGAUCCUUAGCUGGUCUGAGAGGAUGAUCAGCCACACUGGGACUGAGACACGGCCCAGACUCCUACGGGAGGCAGCAGUGGGGAAUAUUGGACAAUGGGGGAAACCCUGAUCCAGCAAUGCCGCGUGAGUGAUGAAGGCCUUAGGGUUGUAAAGCUCUUUUACCAGGGAUGAUAAUGACAGUACCUGGAGAAUAAGCUCCGGCUAACUCCGUGCCAGCCGCCGCGGUAAGAC